UACGUAGGGGGCAAGCGUUGUCCGGAAUCAUUGGGCGUAAAGCGCGUGUAGGCGGCCUGGUAAGUCCGCUGUGAAAGUCCAGGGCUCAACCCUGGAAUGCCGGUGGAAACUGUCAGGCUCGAGUCCGGAAGAGGCGAGUGGAAUUCCUGGUGUAGCGGUGAAAUGCGCAGAUAUCAGGAGGAACACCAAUGGCGAAGGCAGCUCGCUGGGACGGUACUGACGCUGAGGUGCGAAAGCAUGGGGAGCGAACAGG
rnacentral:rRNA from 1 species